GAAAUAUACAUAAUUCCCCACAAAAAGUUUCCAGGUGAGAAGUUCCGGUUCUUGAAGUGGGCGUGGUGUAUAUAAGGGAGCUGCGGCGUUCAUUCAGGCAUGUGUCGUCUUUGUUCUCCCACUGUGUGGCUUGCGUCCGGUGGACUCUGGCAACGGAAAGCAACAAAUCGCUGGCUGUUGCUGAGGUCCGGUGGCGGUGUUGGUGUGGUGACGGUGUCUUCCUCAUCUGUGUGCUGUGAUUCUGGAGUUUGGGUUGUCUCACUGCGUCUGUUGCUGAGGUCCGGUGGCGGUGUUGGUGUGGUGACGGUGUCUUCCUCGUCUGUGUGCUGUGAUUCUGGAGUUUGGGUUGUCUCACUGCGUCUGGUGUUAAAGGUUUUUUUUUAAUUUGCUGUGUUUGGUGGAUGUCGUCCCCAUAGCGCCCCCUCCGGCCGGUAACCUCAACUGCUGCAGCUCUUCUAUUUUCGUUGAUUUCUUUAGUUUAAUUUUUAAAAAGAAACUGGUUUUAAAAACAUUUUCAAAAGAAUUUAAUAAACGUUUUUUUUUUAUAAUUUUGAAACUGUCUCAGAUGUUUUAAUCCAUGCAUGACUGAACCUGUGUGCCUUAAACAAGAGGUAAUAUUCUCUGGGUGAAAUUCCCAGGGUGGCGUUGUUGAGCAAUUUACUAAAAUUAAACUUCCACAAAAUC